GGGGUUAACCCAUUCAAACACACAAUCAACCUGGCUAUAACCCUGACUGAGCCCUUGGUGUGAAAGGGGUAUUAAAUAACCACAGCUGUCUGGAAAUG